CUUUAGCAGGGGAGGGCGGUGAAUGUCUGUUUUGAGCAUAAGCCACAGCAAGGGGAAAGUGCCACACAGCUAAGCUGAUUGCAGUGUUCCAUGGGAGCGAAGAAGACAUCACACCUGCUGUCCCUGGCCCCCCCAGAGUCUCAGGAGCUAGGCUGGUUUCAAGGGAUGAUGCUAUGCCCAAGUUCAGUUACUUUAACUGAUACAAGCCAGAAAAGGAGAAGAGAAGAGAAGAGAAGAGAAGAGAAGAGAAGAGAAGAGAAGAGAAGAGAAGAGAAAGCUUUCAAUACUGUUACAAGUCUGACAGCAACCUAUGACUCUGUAUGGCAUGUUGAGUACACUCCUUGUGAAUAGCUAUGUUUAUCCAAGAAAAUAUUGGCAUCUACAAAUAUACUCAAGGAAUAAUUUUC